GGUUUCCCUGGAGUUGAGGAUGUUUCCUGCUGUCACAGAGUACACUCACUGCAGACCGAUAGGUUGAGAGUUACAUACAACAAAAGGUUCAAAAUGGACAUGACUGCAUUUGAUGUUUCUUUAGCACUUCAUGUAUGUGAGUGAACACGUACGUGAAAGUUGACAUUCCAGUUGUAUAGCUGAGGCAGAAGACAGAAACACAUCUUGUUAAGGGAAUUCUGUUUUAUUCUUUGGGAAAUGGGUUGACAAAGUUUUGGAGCAGUGUGGGAAUGUGACAGAUGGGGGUCAAGGAAGGAUAAUCUUGUGGCUUCUCAUUGAUUAUUGGAUGAAAUCCAGGCACUUUAAUGUGGUUCACAAGGACCCACCUCUCGUUUCACCUGUUCACUCUUCAGUGCUGGUCUCACUGAAUAAGGGGCAGUUUCCUAACUAUGCCUUAUUGUUUUAUAUCUUCAUAUCUCCCAGCAACUCUGCCUGCCACUUGUAGACAUUACUUUUUUUUUUUUUUUGGCCUCCCUUGAGGCAUGUGGAAAUUCCCGGGCCAGGGACUGAAGGCCGUUCCACAGCAGUGACCCAAGCAGUGACAUCGCUGGAUCCUUAACCCUCUGUGCCACAAGAGGACUCCUGUAUUACCUUUUUAAAGUAGAAACUUGGAGGUGAAGACAAGGAAGGGCCCAUACAUUGGAGGAACGAGCUUGUUGAAAUCCACCUGUCUCUGUCUCUGGGUGCUCUGGUCCUCCCGGAAGCGCUUCUCCCCGGCCACCCCUCUUCAUGCUCGCAGCACCCCACUAGGCGCCUGUAGUCUCCGAGGUUUACAAAGGAGGGGCCGAGGCAGAAGGUAAAUGCCUUAAGAUUGCAACAUUCAGACACGAGGCAGGACCAGGAAUGCUGACUGGCGUCUGAGCCGGCUUUUCCCUAUCACGUCGUGUUCUACUCUCUGAGAGGAAGGUCUGCUCGUGGGUUCAAGAUGGGGAUUGGUCACCCCAGUAACCUCAAGAGGCUGUGGCAUCUCUGAACUUCGCAGUCGGGUCCGAGUGACGCCUGCGGGGUGUGUGCCACGUGAGAGCCCCUGCCUAGGUUACCUGUGAGCUGACCUACCUCCCGACUCACUUCCUUAUGUUGGGAGAACUGGGAAAGGAUGGGAGCACAUUAGGAGUACAGUUUCGGCUGUUUGGAAAGACGUCAUCCUUGACUCUUGAAAGCUUGUGAUUUUUUUUUUUUCCCUUUUUAGGGCUGGCAGCAACAGCUCCGAUUGGACCUGUAGCCUGGGAACCUCUAUGUGCCGCGGAAAGCAGCCCUAGAAAAGCCAAAAAAAAAAAAAAAAAAAAAAAAAAAAAAAAAAGCUAAGAGAUGCCUUGAAGAAUCCACCGUGGGUUCUAGCCUUAGUUCUUCUCGACCCUCUGGCAGGAAGGAACCCAGUUUCCUUUUCCUCUAGCUGGUAGCAUAUCCUCCUCAUUUGCCUUCNNNNNNNNNNNNNNNNNNNNUUCAGCAGCUCGAGGAGUCCCCAGAUGUCCAGGUGGCAGUCUCACCUUUCAUUUCAUUGUGCAUUGUCAUCUCCCUUUAAUGUAAGCAUUCUUCCCUUUACAUCCAGGCCCUCUGUACCAGCAGGGAUGGAGGGUGUUAUUAGGGCAAUAGCGUGUCCACUCCUGCCUCUGCCCCUUGACUCCGGAACCAGUGUCUUCUGACUUGGGGAGAGACAGCUGCUUCAAAGCGUAUGUAGUACAUCGUGUGAGAUGGAAAGGCAUCCUUUCGGAAUGUCCUUACAACUCCUGUCUUCAGUUGGCCCUUCCGUUUUGUUCUUGGGGCAGUUGCUUGUAGGGAGUGGGAAGCGUGGUGAGACUGGUGAAUUCCAAGUGCUGACAGACGCUGCUUCGUAAGUGGUACAUGUGACGUUUUCAAAUGGCAGGUCAUGAGCAUGGCGGUCCUGUGCUUACUGGGCUGUGGCCAGUCACCUCCCUUCCUUCCGUCCCUUCUUCUCUUCCUUCCAGGGAGCUCCAUAGACUGGAGAGGCUGGGGUAGAAAAUAAUACAGUGUAACAUGUUCAAGGACACGUAUUUGGGGGGGAAAUACUCAUAUGUAUACUUAUUGGAUCAUGAUUUAAAAUUCAUUUCUUAAUAUAAUUCAUGGUGACGAUACUUUGAAAACUACUGGUCCAAGGAGACAUUGGGACUUGCGGGUUUCUUCCCUCUAGUUUCCUGUGAUGUGUUAGCUCCAGGCCACAUGAAGUCAGUGUCGGCUGCAGUCCUGCAGUGGUCCUACCCACCAGGGUGGAUUUCUCUGGAAAUCUUGUUUACUUCUAACAAGUCAAAGGAUGGCAAUCAUGAGUGAGAUCACCUAUAAAAUGUAACUUUCAGAGUUGUUUAGAAGUUUAAGUGAGACCACGUGACUGAGUUCUGCCCUCAGCAUCUGGCAGGUAGUGGGAAAUAGGUCCAGGCAAUGAACUCUGUUAAAGAUGCACCCAGCACUGUUUACGUGGUGUUUUUCUGUAAAUUUCACCGUAAGAUUUAUAUUUACUAUGUAAAUCGCCUCCAUUGUUUAGGUGACUAAGGUGACCUAAAUCGAGUCAGUUAUGUGAUUUGAAUAAAAUUUCAGAACCCCUGUUUAUAAUCUAUUUCUUUCCACCCCUUCUCCGACUUUCUUUCCAAAUGAUAUUUUUACUUGGAUCUUGAGAGCCUUGUGGUUAAAGCAGAGAUGAAAAUUUUGUGGGACUGGAUCUGCAAAAUAAACUUCUUAGAGUGAAUUGGGAUAGAUGUCUCCACCCUCAGGCCCAGCCCUUGCCUAACAGAAUGAAUGAGCCAAAGUUAUUGACUCAAAAGGUUUCCCUGAAGUGCUCUACAAAUUAAAGCAGAAUAGCUUUAACUGGCCAUUGUUGACGAAGUCAUCUCAGCGUUCUCUUCUGUCUGUCCCUCCCAUAUACAGUGCCAGGAAAACACUCUUGGGAGUUGGCCGUGUUGGAGGCAGUGAUACACUCUGGAGAGAGAGCUGUGUUGAGAAUAAAAUGCUUUCAGGAGCAAUUCAAUCUUUUUAAUAAGUUACAGGUGUACAAUGUAGCGAUUCACAAUUUUCAAAUGUUAUACUCCAUUUAGACUUAUUAUAGAAUAUUUGCUAUAGUCCCCUUGAACAGUAAUACAUCCUUGGAGCUUAUUUUAUGCCUAAUGUUUGUACCUCUUAAUCCCCUACCGAUACCUUGCCCCUCCCCCUCCCCUCUCCCCACUGGUAACCACCAGUUGAUUCUCUGUAUCUGUGAGUCCGCUUCUUUUUUCUUUCUUUCUUUUUUUUAAACUACAUUCACUAGUUUGUUGUACUUUUUGGAUUCCACAUAUAAGUAAUAUAGCAUAGUGUAUUUGUCCUCUGUCUGGCUUAUUCCAUUUAGGAUAAUACCCUGCAAGUUCAUCCAUGUUCCUGCAAAUGGCAAAAUUUCAUUCUUUUUUCCGACUGAGCCGUAUUCCAUUGCAUGUAUGUACUGCAUCUUCUUUAUCUGUUCAUCUGUUGAUGGACAGUUAGGUUGCCUCCAUAUCUUGGUGAUUGUACAUAGUGUUGCUAUGAACAUUCAGGUACAUCUAUCUUUCUGAGUUAGUAUUUUUUUUUUUUUUUAAUAUAUACCCAGGAGUGGAAUUGUUGGCUUACAUGGCAGUUCUAUUUUUCAUUUUUUUGAGAAACCUCCAUACUGUUUUCCACAGUGGCUGUAUGAAUUUACAUUCCCGCCAGCAACGUUUGAGGGCUCCCUUAUCUCCACGUCUUUGUCAGAAUUCGUUAUUUAUGUAUUUAUUUUUAUGUUAGCCAUUCUGACAGGUGUGAGGUGAUAUCUUGUUGUAGUUUUGAUUUGCAUUUCCCUAAUGAUUGGUGAUGUUGAGCAUCUUUUUGUGUGCCUCUUGCGUGUCCUUUUGGGAGAAAUAUUUAUUCAGGUCUUCUGCCCAUUUUUUAUUUUAUUUUUUAUUUUUAAUUGUGCCUGUGGCAUUUGGAAGUUCCCUGGCUAGGGAUCAGACUUGCUCCACAGCAGUGACAGCGCAGGGAAUCCACCAAGCCACCAGGGAACUCCAGUUUGUUUGUUUUUUUGGUGUUGAGAUGUAUAAGGUAUUUAUAUAUUUUACAUAUUAACCCCUUAUCGGUUAUAUCCUGUGCAAAUACUUCCUCACAUUCGGUAGGUUGUCUUUUUGUUUUUUGGUGGUUUCCUUUGCUUUGGUUUUAUUUCCUUUGUUUUAGGAGACAGAUCAAAAAGAUGAUUUAUCUCAAAGAAUGUUCUGCCUGUGUUGUCCCUCAUAUGGUCUUAAAUUUUUUAACAACGGAAGACAUUAUGUAUUAUACAAUUUACCCUUUAAAGUGUACCCUUCAGUGGUUUCCAGUAUAUUCACAAAGUUAUGUAUCCAUCCUUAUAAUCAAUUUGAGGACAUUUUUAUUACUUUCGAAAGAAACUCUGUACCCCUAAGCUGUUGCCCCCUAAUCCUGCCCUACCUAGCUGCCUAGCCCCAGACAGUCACUCAUCUAUUGUCUCUAUAGAUUUGCUUAUUCUGGACAUUUUAUACUAACAAAAGUAUACAAUAUGUUGUCCUUUGUGACUGGCUUCUUUCACUUGGCAUAGUGUUUUCAAGGUUCAUCUGUUGUAGUAUGGAUCAGAAGUUCAUUUCUUUUUAUUGCUGAAUAAUAUUUCAUUGUAUGGGUACAUAGCAUUUUGUUCAUCCAUUCAUCAGUUGGUGGGCAUUUGAGUUGUUUCCAGUUUUUGGCUAUUGUGAGUAAUACUGCUAGGAACAGUCAUACACAGAUUUUUGUGUGAACAUGUUUUCAACCUUCUUGGGUAUAUAGCUAGGAAUGGAAUUGCUGGGUCUUAUGGUAACUCUGUGCUUAAGGAGGAACUGCCUGUUUUCCAAAGUAGCUGCCCUAUUUUACGUUUCUACCAAAAGCGUGUGAGUGAUCCGGUCUCUCCACAUCCUCCCCAACACUUGUUACUGACGUGUCUUUUUAAUGUUAGCCGUCCUCGUAGGUAUGAAGUGCCGUCACAUGGUUUUGAUUUGCAUUUCUCCAGUGACUUUUCAUUUGGGUUUUGGCCAUUUGUAUGUUGUCUUUGGGUUCUGUCUGGUUUUAGUUGGCAUCGAGGGAUGGCAGUAUCUGUAAUCUGUGCAACUGGUAUGUGGAAACUGGUUUCCCAGAAAAGUUUUCACUUCCUUGACAUAGUGAAAUUCACUUACACAUCAGAGAAUGUUUGGUCAAAGUAACAUUCUUUUGUUUUAAUUUUUAUUUAUUCUUUUCUUUUUUUGCCUUUUAGGGCUGCACCUGCAGCAUAUGGAAGUUGCCUGGCUAGGGGUCGAGUUGGAGCUACAGCUGCCUGCCUACACCACAGCCACAGCAGCAUGGGAUCCAAGCCAUGUCUGUGACCUCCACCACAGCUCACAGCAGCACCGGAUCCUUAACCCACUGAUCAAGGCCAGGGAUCAAGUCCACAUCCUAAUGGAUGCUAGUUGGGUUUAUAACCCGCUGAGCCACAGUGGGAACUCCACAUUCUUUUAAAACGCAAUUAUAGUUAAGCCACAUUCCACCCAUAGGGUGAAUAUAGAAGACCACAGUGAACACAGCCCGCGCCAACAUCCAACUGUAAAUGGGAUACUAAGUGAAACACGAGGAAGCAGAGCAAACUCGUGAGGACAAAUGGCCAGAACUCACAGGGACAUCCUCUUGGCCUCUGCUAGCCUCUUCCAAGGAAAUUCUGUUUGGGCAGACAGCUGAAGAGACCACGUAGUGGCAAGAUACUGAGUUAAACCACAGAAAAGGUACACAGCAUGAUUCGUGUACAAAUGCACUCAUGAAGCACUUCAUGUGCUUCAAAUACGGAGUUACGGCCACGGGAACGUUGUCAUUACAUGUGAAGAGAGGAAAAAAUUCAGAUCCCACAUACCUCAAGUACUUGUAUCUUACAUUGUAGCAGCAGAAUAUCUGAAAUUUUUACACUCACUGCACCAGUUCAGAAAUAGUGUCUCAACAUGAAUGAGAAAAGGAAAUAAAAAGGCUAGUAUAAAGUUUGAAUUUGCCAUUUUAAAAACUAUUGCAAUUACACUUCAAAAAAUAAAAAGAGGAGUUCCCGUGGUGACGCAGUGGUUAACGAAUCUGACUGGGAACCAUGAGGUUGUGGGUUCGAUCCCUGGCCUUGCUCAGUGGGUUAACUAUCCGGCGUUGCCGUGAGCUGUGGUGUAGGUUGCAGACGUGGCUUGGAUCCCGAGUUGCUGUGGCUGUGGGGUAGGCUGGCGGCUACGGCUCCGAUUCGACCCCUAGCCUGGGAACCUCCACAUGCUGCAGGAGCGGCCCAAGAAAUGGCAAAAAGACAAAAAAAAAAA
rnacentral:lncRNA from 1 species